rnacentral:rRNA from 1 species
AGCGAACGUUAGCGGCGGGCCUAACACAUGCAAGUCGAGCGAGAAAGUGGCUUCGGCCAUCAGUAAAGCGGCGGACGGGUGAGUAACACGUAGGUAAUCUUCCCUUGAGCGGGGGACAACGAGCCGAAAGGCUCGCUAAUACCGCAUACGUUCCCAGAGACCUCGGUCUUUGGGAGGAAAGCCAGGUAGCAAUAUCCGGCAAUCGAGGAGGAGCCUGCGUCGCAUCAGCUAGUUGGUGGGGUAACGGCCUACCAAGGCGAAGACGCGUAGCUGGUCUGAGAGGAUGAUCAGCCACACUGAAACUGAGACACGGUUCAGACUCCUACGGGAGGCAGCAGUGGGGAAUAUUGGACAAUGGGCGCAAGCCUGAUCCAGCCACGCCGCGUGAGUGAUGAAGGCCUUCGGGUCGUAAAGCUCUGUGGGGAGGGACGAACCGCUGUCGGUUAAUACCCGGCAGCAUGACGGUACCUCCUUAGCAAGCACCGGCUAACUUCGUGCCAGCAGCCGCCGUAA